AUCUUUUUCUUAUACAUAGUUUAGUACUAUUCUUUCUGGAAGAAUGUAUCAUUAUGAUCAACUUAUUUAUUUCCUGGAUUUUUGGAAACUUUUGUGGAA